GACGAACGCUGGCGGCGUGCUUAACACAUGCAAGUCGAACGGAAAGGCCCUGCUUUUGUGGGGUGCUCGAGUGGCGAACGGGUGAGUAACACGUGAGUAACCUGCCCUUGACUUUGGGAUAACUUCAGGAAACUGGGGCUAAUACCGGAUAGGAGCUCCUGCUGCAUGGUGGGGGUUGGAAAGUUUCGGCGGUUGGGGAUGGACUCGCGGCUUAUCAGCUUGUUGGUGGGGUAGUGGCUUACCAAGGCUUUGACGGGUAGCCGGCCUGGGAGGGUGACCGGACACGUUGGGCUGGGGAUACGGCACAGACUCCUACGGGAGGGAGAGGUGGGGAGGAGUGCACAAUGGGAUGAAGCAUGAUGCGGCAACGCCGUGUGGGGGAUGAGGGGCUUGGGGUUGUAAAGCGCUGUUGCCUGUGACGAAGCGUGAGUGACGGUAAUGGGUAAAGAAGCACCGGCUAACUACGUG
rnacentral:rRNA from 1 species